rnacentral:lncRNA from 1 species
AUGAGUAGUGCGGACAGUGGGUCAUGCUUGCAACCUGACUCACCUCGAUCUACCAACAGCAUUAUUUUCCCCACUGCUGAGCUCAUGACCUUGGAGCACCCCUCUGGACCACUGGCUGAGCUGGGUGGUGAGGAUCGAUCACAGCCAAAUCGUGGUUCCCUGGUCCCAUCAUCAUAUCCUUGCUCUCCAUCCACGCCGCAGCCCCGUGCUUACUGUGCUCUCCCAGGCUGUUGGGUACAGACAGCUGGUACAGGCACAGAGCAGUGCAGCUAUGCUCCUUGGAAAGCACUUGCUUAUCCAGACUGGUCCUCUUGAAAGAAAAAAGCCACAAGGUGCCGUGCACAGUCUGUAGGGCACCCGUCUGCUGAACCUGCUGGAGAUGGAUGAUGCACGAGAGUUCAAGCCACUACCACUUCUCUGUGAAAGGCUGGAGAAUUCAGAAAUUAUAUGUGUGGACGAAAAUAACCCCAGAGUUUUCCCAGCAUCGUCAGAGCUAAGUAUUUUCCUCAUCUCGCUCAUUCAGAAGAAUUUCACUUUUCCAGCUAUACAGAAUAUGAAAACAAUACAGGAAAAGCUCCCCUGGGUUUUUCAUCAGCUUGUGAAUCUGAAAGAAGUCCAAGGUUCAGGAAGUUCUGCCCAUCUUUUCUUCUUCUGUCCACCAUCUACCACACCAGUGUUGUUUCCUAAGUCUUAA